GACGAACGCUGGCGGCGUGCUUAACACAUGCAAGUCGAACGGAAAGGCCUGCUUUCCCUUGUGGAUUGCGGGUACUCGAGUGGCGAACGGGUGAGUAACACGUGAGUGAUCUGCCCCCAACUUGGGUAUAAGCCUGGGAAACUGGGUCUAAUUCCCGAUAGGGCUGCAGGGUGGUGCCUGUGGUGGAAAACGAUUUUCUAGUGGUUGGGGAUGAGCUCGCGGCCUAUCAGCUUGUUGGUGGGGUAAUGGCCUACCAAGGCGGCGACGGGUAGCCGGCCUGGGAGGGUGGACGGCCACAUUGGGACUGAGAUACGGCCCAGACGCCUACGGGAGGUAGCAGUGGGGAAUAAUGGACAAUGGGCGGAAGCCUGAUGCAGCGACGCAGCGUGGGGGAUGACGGCCUUCGGGUUGUAAACUCCUUUCGACCGAGAGGAAGCCACCUGGUUGGAAGGGUGGUGACGGUAGUGGUAGAAGAAGCACCGGCUAACUACGUG
rnacentral:rRNA from 1 species